rnacentral:lncRNA from 1 species
GUUAGUCUAGGAAUACAGGUAUGAUUUCAAUAUUAAGAAACCUGUCAACAUAAUUCAUCAUGCCAGCAAAUUAGCGGGGGAAAAAUAGUGAUUAUAUAAAUAGAUGAUUAAAAGGCAUUUGAAAAAGUUGAGCAGUCAUCCCAAUUAAAAACUCUCUGUAACAUCUGACUAGAUGUUUUAGUCAGCAGAAGCUAACUUGUCCUACAAAGAGCCCCAAACUUUAUUGGCUUGACACAGUAAGUUAUUUUUCCUCAUGUCAUAAUCCAGUGUGGGACAACAAUGGAGCUCUCCUACCCACAGUCAUUCAAAGACCUGGGCUCUUUCCAUCAGUAGUUCUUCCAUCUUCUAGAAAGAUGUCCCAAGUCCUCUGCAUCUGACUGGUAGAGAAAGGAAGGCAGUGUGGAGAGUGUGGGAGGCUCAGGGUUAGUACUGGAAACAUAAUCUCUUUUUUCCACCCACAUUCUUCUGAUCAAAAUUCAGUUAGGUUGGGUCUACAUAACCAUAAGCAAGACUGGAAAAUGUAGUUGAUCUGAUUAUAUAAAUAGAUGAUUAAAAGGCAUUUGAAAAAGUUGAGCAGUCAUCCCAAUUAAAAACUCUCUGUAACAUCUGACUAGAUGUUUUAGUCAGCAGAAGCUAACUUGUCCUACAAAGAGCCCCAAACUUUAUUGGCUUGACACAGUAAGUUAUUUUUCCUCAUGUCAUAAUCCAGUGUGGGACAACAAUGGAGCUCUCCUACCCACAGUCAUUCAAAGACCUGGGCUCUUUCCAUCAGUAGUUCUUCCAUCUUCUAGAAAGAUGUCCCAAGUCCUCUGCAUCUGACUGGUAGAGAAAGGAAGGCAGUGUGGAGAGUGUGGGAGGCUCAGGGUUAGUACUGGAAACAUAAUCUCUUUUUUCCACCCACAUUCUUCUGAUCAAAAUUCAGUUAGGUUGGGUCUACAUAACCAUAAGCAAGACUGGAAAAUGUAGUUGAUCUCUGUUCUCAGGAGAAAAGGAAAAUGUAUGGGUGAGCAUCUAGCCAGUCUCUGCCACAGAAAGUUACCACCUAAAAUAUUAAAGACCUUACCAAAAAACUAAUAACAUAUAUCGUCCCAAAGAGUGAAACACUAAAUAUACUUACACUGAAAUCAGGAAAAAAACUGGGACAUUCACUAUCACCAUUAUUUAUUCAACAUUAUUUUGGAGGUUUUAGCAGGUACAGUAAGAUAAGGAAAGAAAAUAAUAUAAAUUUGGGAAAGAAGAGAUUAAAUUAUCUUUUUGCUGAUAAUAUGCCAACAUACUUAGAAGCUCUAAGAUAUGCUUUUAAAAAGAACAUAUCUGUUUAAUUAACAUGGCUGGACACAAGAUAAAUACACAAAGAUACAUAAAUAUGUGAAUAUACAUACGUGUGUACAUUGUUCUCCAUAUGUUCUCUUCGUUUGCUUCUAUCUAAAUAACUCUUGGGGUUUACACAAGCUCUCAAUGUCAUCUGUGAAACCUACAGACUAUUGCUUAUGGCAGAAAAAAUGCACUCAACUUGUGAGCUACUCGCUUACAUAACCAUGUACUCCACUUUUACCAGAUGAGUUGUUUGUUUACCAAUUUCUAGUUGUGCUUGCUCCUAAACAUUUUUAUGACAGUUGUACUGUUAUUAUAAACCAAGUAACUUGAACAAAUACUACUGAAGCCAACACAUAAUAAUGUGAUAAGAAUGAAUUUUUGUUUUCAUGGAAGCUGUUGUCUGCUUUAGAAAGGUUCAAUAAAGACAGGUUGCAAAAAAAUGCUGUUGGUUUGGGCAUAACAAUUGUAAAGCAUAAGGAGAAAAUUUUAA